GGUCAAACUCCCAAUCCCAUCCUCUGAUCCAGCCAUUCCAGCUUGCCCGUGCCCAGCCACCAGGCGUGCGGCGCGCCGCUGCCUCCUCCGUCGACGCGCGCGCGGCCGCCGCCUCCUCCUCCGUCGACGCGCGCGGCCGAGAGAGGCUCGGCCCGGGCAGCGACGGUGCUGGGCGGCGGGGCGGACGGAGGUGGCGCCAGCGCUGGGCGGCGGGUCGAGCGGAGGCGGCGAAAUCCGUGGCUGGAGAAAGGGAGGGCCCGGGUGGCGACGGCGCUGGGCGGCGGGGCGGAUGGAGGCGGCGCCGGCGGGCAGCCCGAGCGGCAACCCCACCACCACCCUCAUCUCCGUCACUCUCCCACGACGGGUACCACCCCUCCUCUGCUCCGACGACCGGCGGCUCUCCUCCCCAGGCCGGCGACGCGGAUCUGGUGGUACGGGACGACCACGGAGCGGCCGGCGAGCUCCGGGCGGCGCGGCGGCGACAGCAGCUCGACGGCGUCGCCCUCCCUGUCCCCCACACCUCCGUCGCCUCCGCCCCCUCACCACCGGGUCACUUCCUCACCACCGGAUCUCGCCACUGGAUACCGUCGCCGACGGAGAUCUCGCCGUCGGAUCCUGCCACCGACCUUCUUAAGUGGUGGUGGUGGAGGGGGAGGGGGGGGGGGGUGGAUUGGGGCUCGUCGCCUCGAGGAGGCCGACGGCGAUGUGGCUCUACGGCGAGGGUCGACCCACCGCCUGUUCUUCAACUGCUUCCGAUGUCCCUCCAUAUAUCUCAGUGAGUUGAUUCGCCGAGGAAGAUGCUGACUCGCCGGAUCCCUUCAUCCUGCCAAUCUUCAUUUUUUUUCCAGUAUACAGUGCUUCCUACAUGAUCAAUAUCUCUCAAAUCUCAAUGAAGAUAGGCAGAUUGUUAUUCCAGGUUGGUUCUCUGGAUGUGUGGAAGUUUGCAAUUUGCAGAUCAAUAGCUGUAUAUGGUUGAUAUAAAUUUGAAGAUCACUGGCUCUAUAUGGUUGAUAACUUGAUAUGAGGGUAAUUGGGAAAUCUGUGAUAAGCACAUCUCAAGAAGCUAUGUAUAAGUUGUAGCAAAAAAUUCCAUUUGCACAUCAACAAGAAGGCCUUGAUGUAAUUCAAUCCUCUAUUUGCUAUGAGUGGAGGACGAGAAGCAAGGAGUGAUUCCAUUCAAUGUUUGAAAGAUUUGCUUUGUUUUCUGUUUUCAGAUUUCCUGUUAUUAGGUUGAAUCUGAGAUGAAAUAUUGUUUGAAUUCUGUUGUAUUCUGAUUGUAUCUGUUAUUAGUUGAAUCUGAGAUGGUACCUGCAAUUAGAUUUGAAUCUGAAAUGGUAUGAGAAAUUGGAUUGAA